rnacentral:rRNA from 1 species
UCCACGCCCUAAACGAUGGAUGCUUGGUGUUGGGAAGAUCUCUUCUCAGUGCCGUAAGCUAACGCGUUAAGCAUCCCGCCUGGGGAGUACGGCCGCAAGGCUAAAACUCAAAGGAAUUGACGGGGGCCCGCACAAGCGGUGGAGCAUGUGGUUUAAUUCGAAGAUACGCGAAGAACCUCACCUGGGCUUGACAUGCUGGUGGUAGUGAACCGGAAAGGGGGAACCGACCCGUU